rnacentral:rRNA from 1 species
AACGCGAAGAACCUUACCAGCCUUUGACAUCCCGGUCGCGAGCACCAGAGAUGGAGCUCUUCAGUUCGGCUGGACCGGAGACAGGUGCUGCAUGGCUGUCGUCAGCUCGUGUCGUGAGAUGUUGGGUUAAGUCCCGCAACGAGCGCAACCCUCGCCCUUAGUUGCCAUCAUUUAGUUGGGCACUCUAAGGGGACUGCCGGUGAUAAGCCGGAGGAAGGUGGGGAUGACGUCAAGUCCUCAUGGCCCUUACAGGCUGGGCUACACACGUGCUACAAUGGCGGUGACAGAGGGACGCAAAGGAGUAAUCCUUCGCAAAUCUCAAAAAGCCGUCUCAGUUCGGAUUGUGCUCUGCAACUCGAGCACAUGAAGUUGGAAUCGCUAGUAAUCGCAGAUCAGCACGCUGCGGUGAAUACGUUCCCGGGCCUUGUA